CCCCCAAAAUCUAAGGGUUCCUCUGCAAGGUCCGUCCAUGGAGGAUAAGUCAGGGCCUAAGAUCAUACCAAAAGGCAUAGUCGAUGGACAAAAGGUGAAUAUUACUGUACUACCCCUUAUUGGUCCUGAGGGGCUUAGGAGGCUAGAUUAGCCGAAAAAUGGUUAUCGGUUCAAGAGUAUAAGGCGUCCCUGUUUUUUUAUUAGGGUAAGAAGAGGUAGAGAAAAUGCCCUGAGCCAAUGUUCGAAUACCAAGCACUAUGACGUAAAAGUAACCCAUUCCAUACUCCCAUGAAAAGCUUGAACAAUACUGGACAAGAGUGUACCUGUACCCGAAAUCGACACAAGUGGAUUAGUUGAGAAUACUUAGGGGCACGAUACAACUCUCUCUAAGGAACUCGACAAAAUAGCCCCGUAACUUCGAAAAAAGGGGUGCCUCCUCACAAAGAGAGUCGCAGUGACCAGGCUCGGACGACUGUCUACCUAAAACACAGAUCUCCACAAAGUUGUAAGACCAUGUAUGGGGGAUGACGCCUUCCUAAUGCCAGAAGGUCAACGAAGUUGGUGACCUAAAGCUGACGAUUGGAACAAAAGUCGUAACUAUAAUGGUCCUAAGGUAGCAAAAUUUCUUAUCGGGUAAGUUUUGACCCACAUUAAAGGCGUAAUGAUUUUGGCAUUGUCUCGGAAAGAGGCUCGGUGAAAUACACAUGUCUGUGAAGAUGUAGACUACCUGCACCUGGACAGAAAAAUCCUAUAAAGCUUUAUUAUUUCAUGGGAUUGGCUUUGGGUCUUUCCUGCGUAGCUUGGGUAGAAGGCAAAAAAGGCAUCCUUUUGAGGUGGGUGGGGAGACGAGGCAUCAAUAAAAUACCACUUUGAAAGAAUUAGAAUCCUAACCUUGUGUCAAGACCAACGAGUCAAGGGACAGUCUCAGCAGACAAUUUCUAUAGGCGGUAGGCCUCCCAAAAGGUAACAAAGGCGUGCAAAGAUUUCUUCAGACCGAACGAAGAUUGGAACUCGAGUGUAAAGGCAGAAGGUAGCUUGACUCUAAGACCCACCUGCCAAGCAGGGACAAAAGUUGGUCUUAGUGAACCGAUGGUGCUGAGUGAAAGAGUCGUCACUCAACGGAUAAAAGUUACUCUAUGGAUAACAUGUCGAUCUUCCCCAAGAGCUCACAUCGAUGAGAAGUUUUGCCACCUUGAUGUCGGCUCUACACCACCUGGGGUUGUAGUAUGUUCUAAGGGUUGUCGCUCAUUAAAACGGUACGUGAGUUGAGUUUAGAACGUCGUUAGACAGAUCGAGUAUGUGAAUCUUUUU
rnacentral:ncRNA from 1 species